CUCUUGGAAGUUACAGAGGAGCUCACACUGACAGGAUUUCAGGAAGAAACUGUGCUCGUCUCUACCUGCUGACAUCAUCUCCCUAAUCCCUUGGCCUUUUUUCUGCUGAGAAGGUUUCUUCAGACCUAUCACUAGAAAACAGUUUGAAAUGAAGCCAUAAUUCAGU